ensembl:lncRNA
GAGAAAUGUGGUAAAAUUUAUAAGAUCCGUGUAGAUGGUUAAAAGUUGGUUCAAAAGAAGUUAUUUAAAAUUAUCCCCACACUUGGGGAAGCUGGAAAGGGUCACUUAUUUCCCCCCCACUCCAUGCAAUUUUUGGUCAAGUACCAGGAAGCCACAAAACUGAACAAAAAAUCCAGUGGUCAAAAGCAAAGGGCAGUGACUGCAACUGCACUGUCCUCUCCUCCUCUGGACUGGUGGGCCCUCCUGAUGGCUCGACAGAGAUCAGCCACGGUCCUCGCUGCUCUUCUCUGGAUCAAGGGAUCUUCCUGUGCUGAAACCCAAACCAGGACUUUAAAUAAAAGAAAAAUCGGGCUUUGGGGCGUGCCUACUACCUAUAGUAAGAAAAAACCAAACAAACAUAGCAGCAUGUGCUACAGAGAAACAAGGAACUAAAAGCAUGGCAUACCAGAACUUGUUUCACUUACGCAAUUCUGUUUGAAAACGUUCUGGCUUGAGCCAAGGGGUGAGUGAUAGCGAAUUGAUGGGAACCUCACCCUUCUGCUGGUAAAUAUUCAGCGAGAAGAGAGGUGGAGUCCAUAAACAAUCAAAAAAAGCUCUCCAAGAUUGCAGCAUUAUUAAAUUAUUACAGUCUGAGCAAUUUUUAAGCAGUGCAAACAUUUGCUUUCCAUUUCAUGGCUGGCUGUUGCUGACGACGUACGCGGUCUCUGUGGACACAAGAGCCCCCCCACUCUGUGUUUGCUUUUUGGUUUUCACGCAAGAGGAGGCUCAGCGCCCGCGUGUAGCAUUACAUGCACAAAGCUAUUUGCUUUUCUCUGACGUUCAGGUAGUUUUAAAUGGUAACUGUUGCUUUACAUUUAAUUUCUCAGGUAAUCCUCUGCCUGAACACACAGCCGCAGUGGGGUUUAUGAGCUGUGCACUGUGAAGAGGAUGGGAGCACAACCAAAGGCCUCGGUCUUCAGGACUUCUGCAAGCAGCAAUACUUCGCCAAUUCAAUCUCCAGUUCAAAAAAUGUCUGUAUUAAAAUUCAUGGAUUUUCUCCCAUACCUUUUUCCUUCUAUUUCCCCCUUUCCCCUUUAUUAAGGGCCAGGGUCUGCCACAGUAAGGGUGAAGUGACAUUGUUCUUGUGGUGAAAGUGUUUGUUUUCUCCAAUGCCAGUGAUACAAAGGUAUUUAAUGCCUUGCACGUGGCAAAUGUUGAUACACUAACACUUGAACUAUUUAUAUCCUCAUCAUGCUGCUGCAGUAAAACUUGUCCUUUAGUUCGUAGUCCUGUGGCUUAUUUUGUGUUAGCAUACUGCCCUACAUGGCAGUAACACCGGAUGGUGCAUGCUGACAGUGUGCAAGCCAAGGUGUGUAGGCAGACAUAGCAUCAUGCAAUCACAGAAGCAUUGGAGUCCCAUAAAGCAAAGGACUCAUAAAUGUCAUCUAGUCCAACAGAGGGACACCUACCAAGUCAGGCUGCUCAGAGCCCUGUCCACCUUGACCUUGAAUGACUCCAGGGAUGAGGCAUCUACCACCUCCCUGGACAACCUGUUCUAGCACUUUGCUACCCUUAUUAUGCAAAACAAAUAUUUCUUAUUUCCAAUCUAAAUCUUCCCUCUAUAAGUGUUGCUUCCAAGAUAAGCGUCGCUUCCAAGUUUAAGGAAUAUCACCAAACAAGACCAAGUUUUGAGCUCCCAGUGCCAACUUCAAGUAUUACGUAGAAGCAAAAUUCCAAGCUCAGCAGAAGUGAGAGCAGCUGCUCGCAGCUGAGCAAGGCAUGAGUGAGUGAGUCUUCAUGAGGGAAGAGGUGGCACUGGGGCAGGG